AAGUCGUAACAAGGUCUCCGUUGGUGAACCAGCGGAGGGAUCAUUACUGAGUUAUCUAAACUCCAACCCUAUGUGAACCUACCGUCGUUGCCUCGGCGGGCUGCGCUUACCCGGUAGCUACCCUGUAGCUACCCGGUAGCGCGUUACCAAGCCCGCCGGUGGACCACUAAACUCUGUUAUAUAUACUGUAUCUCUGAAUGCUUCAAACUUAAUAGUUAAAACUUUCAACAACGGAUCUCUUGGUUCUG
rnacentral:misc_RNA from 1 species